rnacentral:rRNA from 1 species
UACGCAGGGGGCUAGCGUUGUCCGGAAUCAUUGGGCGUAAAGAGCGUGUAGGCGGUCCGGUAAGUCCGUUGUGAAAGUCAAGGGCUCAACCCUUGAAUGCCGGCGGAUACUGUCGGGCUAGAGUCCGGAAGAGGCGAGUGGAAUUCCCGGUGUAGCGGUGAAAUGCGCAGAUAUCGGGAGGAACACCUAUGGCGAAGGCAGCUCGCUGGGACGGAACUGACGCUGAGACGCGAAAGCGUGGGGAGCAAACAGG